ACAGCCCUCAGUCUAUUAAUUCGUGCUGAACUUAGCCAACCAGGGGCACUACUAGGUGAUGAUCAAAUCUAUAACGUUAUUGUCACUGCCCACGCCUUUGUUAUAAUCUUUUUCAUAGUAAUACCAGUUAUAAUUGGCGGCUUUGGAAACUGACUAGUCCCAUUAAUAAUUGGGGCCCCAGAUAUAGCUUUUCCACGCAUAAAUAACAUAAGCUUCUGACUACUUCCACCAUCACUACUACUACUACUCGCCUCAUCUGGGGUAGAAGCCGGCGCAGGGACAGGUUGAACAGUAUACCCGCCCCUAGCUGCUAAUCUGGCCCAUGCUGGCGCAUCAGUAGAUCUAGUAAUUUUCUCACUUCACCUGGCCGGAAUUUCCUCAAUUUUAGGGGCAAUCAACUUUAUCACUACCUGUAUUAACAUAAAAUCCCCAUCUCUAUCACAGUAUCAUACCCCCCUCUUUGUAUGAUCAGUAAUAAUUACUGCAGUACUACUUUUGCUUGCUCUACCAGUUCUUGCCGCUGGAAUCACAAUACUCCUAACUGACCGAAACCUUAAU
rnacentral:rRNA from 1 species